rnacentral:rRNA from 1 species
UACGUAGGGCGCAAGCGUUGUCCGGAAUUAUUGGGCGUAAAGAGCUCGUAGGCGGCCUGUUGCGUCCGCUGUGAAAUCCCGGGGCUUAACCCCGGGCCUGCAGUGGAUACGGGCAGGCUGGAGGCAGGCAGGGGAGAACGGAAUUCCCGGUGUAGCGGUGAAAUGCGUAGAGAUCGGGAAGAACACCAGUGGCGAAAGCGCUCUGCUGGACUGCAACUGACACUGAGGGACGAAAGCUAGGGGAGCGAAAGGG